ACUCAGGUAGCAAGAAAAGGAAAUGACCCAUGGCAGUCCCACUAUACUACGACAAAUUUGCUGGAAAGGUGCGUGUAAAAGAUUAGUACUGUUGAAACUGUUUAGCACACAUGUAUCAUUGACAGAAAGUCCAUGACAGAAAUUAGUUACUAUGCACAGUGCACAGUAGUUACCACAGCUUGUAGGGGGAUGCUGAGAAACAUGUUCUCCAACAUGGACACAAGGUCAAACAUCCUUACAAAAACACUUGGACCUAAACUGAAGGAAGCCAGCCUGUUCCAGAGUACAGUUGCAGGGCGUAUGGGAUGUUUUGAAGUUCUGUGGCGUGGGCUGAUGUUACUAGUCACAACUGAUAAAUGCAUUCUGCGUGGACGAGGAUUUGCCUCUAAGGUCUAAUAGAGAUGCCAGAAGUCACUGGACCAAGAUGGAAUACAUGGGUCAUGUGGAAUGAUAAUUCCUCCUGCUGGAGAAAUGGACAGGUGUCAGAUGUGAGCUGAUGAAAACCCCCAGACUUACACAGCCAACAACUACCUCCAUAAAUUAGAAACUUUAUUUUUCAAGGACUCUGAUGCAAAGUACCCGAAAACUAAGUACAAAGUAACAUAAUGUGA